GAUGAACGCUGGCGGCGUGCCUAAUACAUGCAAGUCGAGCGAACAGAUGAGGAGCUUGCUCCUCUGACGUUAGCGGCGGACGGGUGAGUAACACGUGGAUAACCUACCUAUAAGACUGGGAUAACUUCGGGAAACCGGAGCUAAUACCGGAUAAUAUAUUGAACCGCAUGGUUCAAUAGUGAAAGACGGUUUUGCUGUCACUUAUAGAUGGAUCCGCGCCGCAUUAGCUAGUUGGUAAGGUAACGGCUUACCAAGGCAACGAUGCGUAGCCGACCUGAGAGGGUGAUCGGCCACACUGGAACUGAGACACGGUCCAGACUCCUACGGGAGACAGCAGUAGGGAAUCUUCCGCAAUGGGCGAAAGCCUGACGGAGCAACGCCGCGUGAGUGAUGAAGGUCUUCGGAUCGUAAAACUCUGUUAUUAGGGAAGAACAAAUGUGUAAGUAACUAUGCACGUCUUGACGGUACCUAAUCAGAAAGCCACGGCUAACUACGUG
rnacentral:rRNA from 1 species